GGGAGCGGAUGCGAACCUGGUGGUCGCCCCGGUCUUCAAAACCGAGUGGGGGGCACGUGCUGUCCCUGGUGGGUUCGAUUCCCACACGCUCCC
rnacentral:tRNA from 1 species